GACAUUCAAAUAACAGAAACAUAUAUAGCAGAGUGCAACAAUUGAAGGGCACACAACCAGACAUAAUUCACCAUGAAGAAAAAACUGAAACUUCUUUGAUAAAUUUCUAAAGAGCCCAGGAAGGAGCAGGCAACCAUUAUGCACUUAUCACACUUAGCAUCUGUAAAUCUUGAAACCAUUUCAGAGAAUCACUACACUAGUUCACACAUAAGGCCAGAUGAAUUACAGUUGUUAAUGGUGCGCAAUGAGGGUAAGCAUUUUUGGUUCAUGUGGAAUUGUUAGCAUUUCUCUUUACGGUUCAAACCAUGGACUUAAUGAUAACAGAGAUAAAAAAAAAAAUGUAAAUUCUGAAGUGAUCAGAAUAAAUUUCUCCAAAUCAUGCAUCAGUAAAAUUUCUUGAAGUCACCUUCAUUUUAGCCAAAUUACCAACUAAGGCUGUUAGUUGAACAAAAGUUGACUAAUGACUCCUUUGGCAAUUUUAAAACAGAGAAAAAAGGAAAAUGUUUUUUUUCCAUAACUGUGUCCUUUCUUCUCUUCUCAAUCAUCUUCCUUGGUCAAACCAAUGACGCCCAUGAGACUCACAUUCACACUAAUCUGACCAAUAAUGGAGAUCUCUUUGGAAAACGGCUUCUGAAUUUAGGUCGUUUUAUUUUAUGACAUCCGCUGUCCAUACCAUUCAUCUAUUUCCAGUUUUCAGUCAUGUGUGAUAUUUCAUAUAUACCACCACUCAUUCAAAUUGUGUCAGGGGUCCCACCCCAUAUAAGGGCGGCACCAACAAGAGAAAGAAAAGAAAAGGAUGAAGACAUUUAAGCCUUUAAAGCUGCAGGUGCGACUAGGAAUACGCAAGUUCAUAAUUUAGCUUGUUUAUGAAGAAUGAACAGAGAACAAAAAAACGAGUUGGUGGGAGAGUUAAUGGGAAUAUGAAGAGAGAGAAAAGGAUUGUUAUCAAUUGGAUGAUCACAAGAUAAUUUUGAUGAAAUGUCAACAAUAUCUCACCACCAAGUAUGUUAGCUUUUCAAGAUCCAUACGGUUCAUUUCGAAGAGCAUUCCGUAGAGUUAUGUAUAAAAUUAUCAAUGUUUACAAAGGAGUCAAAACUUGCCUUUUAUAUCAAGUCACACGUGGACUUUGAAAGGCCUUCAUCUGCUUCUUAUUUUCUUUUCAUUCUUUCUGUUCUUAACCCAACACAAAUUGGCGAGCAGGAUGUUAAAAUUAUUUAGCAAACAGCAAAAAACCAACAUCUCUAUACACGCAUGCAUGCAGGUGCGUGUCUGAUGGGGGUAAGGAUUUCUUGUGAUGCAUCUCCGAGAAUUUAUCCAGGACUUACAGGUAGCCUUCCAACAGGUUUUCUCAAGACUUGAAUUGCGAUACGAUUCAAUGUGUAAAUUGUACGAUUUCAACAAAAAAUUGACCAUAUAAACCAUAUUCAUAAAGAUUUUUACAACUGCCAAAAAUAAUGCUAUGAAUCUUGACCCAAACUGAUAAGAAUAUUGUUUGAAAUCUGUCAUGAAAGAAAAGUUUUUCAUCACUUAAAUUUAUUAAGUAUAACUUGAAUGAAUUUUAGAUUCUAGAUUUUAUAUAUUUCUAACUUAACUUAUGUUCAAAUAUUGUGCAUCCAACAAAAGCACUGGCUAAACAUUUUUGUUUUUUCAAUCAUCCUCUCUUUACGAACCGAUACAUCUAACAUCCAUUCUAAAGAUUCAUCCAACAACCAUUCUAAAGAAAGUAUGAUGUCAUAAUUUUCUGGUCCAAAAACUCAUAGAGAUCACACUGCCUUAAUACCAAAACUUUAUGACCAAUGACAACAGCAUCACGGCUCAAAGUUGCAGAUUCUUUCAUCCAAUAAAGCAGAGCAAUCUUUACUAGUAAAGUUAGGCAUGAGAGUAUAAGCAAAUGCUAUAGCAUUUGGGAACAAGAAUAGUAUAUUGUGUACAUUAAAAUUAACUCGUGUGUUAUUGUGUACAUUAAAAUUAACUCGUGCGUGCAUUUAUACCAAACAAGAAGUGUACCAAUGAAAGUGAUAGCUCACGCCAAGUAAGAAACAAUCAGUUUUAGUACAUUUCACAAAAAAUCACUCCAUGUAAAAAGGUUAAUUAAGAAACACACUAACAUGAAUAGCCGUUUAAGUUCUAACCUUCAAAUACCAGCAAUCAUGACAUCUCAAUGCAUGUUUUUCAAAAGGACAUGUUUUCUUUCUAGAAAGGAUAAAAACCAAAAUUUUUAUCAAUAAAUGUUAGAUUCCAAGGAGUGGAUCAAAGAAAAAGGAAAGGAGGAGAAAUAAUACUGAAGCCAUGCAUUUCUACAUAUAUCUUACUACCAGAAUACAAAAUUCCUACACAUCCAUGUGUAAAGGACCCCCUUAAAUGUGCAAAAUAAUAUGGUAUGCAGCUCAUAAAUAGAUGCCAAAGUGCAGCGGAGCGGAGCAAGGGGAGCAAAGCGCACUGAGCAAAGCGGAGAUAUUUAUAGUAGACCCUAGCUGUCCUUGGGAUAUUAGUAAUUUUAAAUAAUACCCCUUUACAGUAAUUUGACAUUUAGUGAAAUAAAUGCUCCUCACUUCUAUGGAUGUAAACACAUUACCGAACCAUGUUAAAUUUGUAUAUUUUUCUUGUGUUCUCUCUUAUGCACUAUUUAUCAUUAUUGUUGCAAGUUUCACAACAAUUGGUAUUAGAGUCUGGCUACGAUGUCAAGGAUUUCUUCUGCAAAAUCAACAUGGUCAAGUUCUAUGAAUCUAAUAAUUUCAGAUUAUGGCGGAGGGUAAAAGAUUUGUUAGUGCAGCAAGACUUGAUAAAGGUGUUAUACAAAAAACAACCAGAAAGCAUGAACAGCACAAAUUGGCAGGAACUGGAAGCGAGGGCUGUGACAACUUCUAGGCUUUGUCUAGAUGAUGAUGUGAUGUAUCACAUCACAGAUAAGGAAUCACCAAUGAUAGUUUGGGAAAAAACUGGAAAGUUGGUAUAUGUCUAAGUCAUUGAUGAACAAAAUUUAUCUUAAAUAGAAACCACUUUAUCUUAAGAUGUCAAAGGGCACAAAUUUGAUUCAGCAUAUCAGUGUGUUCAAUCAAAUUGUUAUAUCAAUGUGUUCAAUCAAAUCGUUAGUGAUUUGAAGCGAAUUGAUGCAAAGUUCGACAACGAAGACAAAACGUUGAUGUUACUAAAUUCCUUACCUGUUUCUCCUACGUACAAAAAUUUAGUUGCAACUUUGAUGUGUGGAAAGAAACAAUCCAAUUGGAGGAAAUCAUAAGUACCUCAUUACACCUUAUUAUAAGGAAGAAAGCUAGUGAUGAAAAUUCACAAAGUGAAGGGCUGGUUGUGAUGAGUAAUCAAAAGCGCGAGAGAAACAAGUCACAGAGCGAAAACUCAGUCUAAAUCCAGGAAGAAGGAGGACAUAUAAUCUUAUAAAUGUGGAAAAGCAGGACAUAUAAAAUAAGAAGUUUCAAAGAGAAAAAGAGAGAUAAAGAGAACAAAGAGAGCACAUCAAAGAGAACAAAGAGAGCACAUCAAAGUCCAUGAAUGUAGUGGAACAAGACUCAAAGAGCAGUAUUGGAGAUAUGCUUUUUGUUUCAUCCGUUCAGGUCAUCUCACAGAUUCAUGGAUAUUAAAUUCAGCAUGCUCUUAUCACAUGACACCCAAUAAAGAUUGAUUAGAUACCUACAUGUUAGUUAAUUCUGGUUCUAUUCCAACAGGUAACGAUAAUCCAAGCAAAGUUGUUUGAAUAGGAAAUAUUAAGAUUAAAAUGUUUGAUGAUGCUAUUAGAACAUUGUGUGAUGUUAGAUACAUACCGAAUUUGAGAAAAAAUCUGAUUUCAUUGGGCACUUUAGACCGUAACGGGUUCAAUUUCAAAUCUAAAGGUGGAGUACUGAAGGUUAGUGAAAAUGCUAUGACAAUAAUGAAAGGACCAUAUUCACUAGUGUAGCAAUGUUGAGAAAGUGUUUGAAAAGUUUAGCAUGGAUAAUACAAAACCAGUGAGUACACUUUUGGUGAAUCAUUUCAGAAUAUCUAUUGCUCGAUGCCUACAGACAUAUGAUGAAGUGAAAGUCAUGUCAAAGGUUCCAUAUGUUAAUGCAUCGAGGUUUUUAAUGUAUGCUACAGUUUGAGCAAGACUAGAUUUGGCAAAAUCAGAUAGUGUGGUGAGCAAAUUUCUAUCAAAUUCGGGACGACAUCAUUGAGAUGCAGUCAAGUGGAUCUUUAGAUAUUUAAAGGAUACUGCAGAGUAUGGCAUAACAUUUAGCAGACAACAGAGUGAUCUUUCAGUUAUAGGAUAUGUGGAUGCAGACUAUGCUAGGACCUUGGAUGACUAAAGGUCUACCACAAGUGAUGUACUUACUUUGCUAGGGGCCUAUUUAUUAGAGGUCUAUGGUUUAGUCUCUAGUUGCACUAUCUAUUAAUAAGUCAAAAUAUAUGAUAGUGGCUGAGGCUGCCAACGAAGCCUUGUGGCUUACAGCUUUGGUCAGGGAGCUAGGUAUUCAGCAAAUUGAAGUUCAAUUACAUUGUGAUAGUCAAAGUGCCCAUAUACUUGGCAAAGAACCAAAUGUAUCAUGCAGGGACCAAGCACAUAGAUGUAAGGUUUCAUAGAAUCAAUGAACUAGUUUCUUCAAGUAAACUAUUACUUGAGAAAGUUCACCCUUCUAAGAAUGUAAUAAACAUGUUGGCAAAGCCUAGUACUAUAGAUAACUUCAAGCACUGCAUGAACUUGAUUAAUGUCUCCAAGUGCUAGAUGAGAGACACCCCAACCUAUUGUCCCAAGUAGAGUUCCAGGUUAUGGUUACUUUAGUUUUCUCCUAUGAGGUAAAUAUUCGCCAUGGUGGAAAUUGUUGUAAUAUAUAGCUUAUAGAUAGAUGCCAAAGUGAAGUAGAGCAGAGCGAGGGUAGCGAAGCGAACCAAGAGGAGCAAAGGUAUUUAUAACAAAAACCCUAGCUUUAGUUUUCUCCUACGAGGUAAAUAUUAAGAUGGAAAUUUUUGUAAUAUAUAGCUUAUAGAUAGAUACCAAAGUGAAGUAGAGCAGAGCGAGGGUAGCAAAGUGAACCAAGAGGAGCGGAGGUAUUCACAGCAAACCCUAGCUGACCUAGGGUAUUAGUAAUUUCUAAUAAUACCCCUUUGCUGUAAUUUGACAUGUAAUGAAAUAAAAAUUCCUCACUCAUGUGAAUACAAGUAUACUGUCGAAUAACGUUACAUUUGUGAGUUUUUCUUGUUUUCUCUCUUAUGCAAUAUUCAUUAUUAUUGCUACAGGCUUCACAACACAAAAUUAUUUGUGUAUUUCUAUUCCAGAAACUAGGUUGUCAAAUAAUGAUGACAAAAAAAUGUGGUGGUAGUUAGACAAGUACAUAUCAAUUUCCUUUAUUUUCAAUCUUUAACAAAGAAUAAAGGUGCAAGGUCUUGUCACUUCCAAGAAAAAAAAUAAUUAGAAAUGUUUUGGAACACUAUUAUCAUGUAAAAUGUUUAAAUCACAUUAUUUUAUUAGUAAAGUCUAUCAUUUUCUAGGAAACAAAAAUAUACAAAAUCUAGGGAAAAGAAUAACACUGACUCUGUGAGAAGACAGUGAGCAGUGCUCCAGGUCAUAUACAAGUUAAAGCAUGCUUACAAAGGCUCACACAACUUAUCAGAUAUCCUGAUGCAAAACUAUUUUAUUUUCAUUGACAAUUUGCGUUAACACUAGUGCACCUGUAAAUGAACAUCUUUCACGAAACUAGUGUUGGCCUGCUUGAA